ACAAUCGCCCUUAAGUUUGAUCCUGGCUCAGGAUGAACGCUAGCGGCAGGCCUAACACAUGCAAGUCGAGGGAGAGGUUACCUUCGGGUAACCAAAACCGGCGCACGGGUGCGUAACGCGUAUACAAUCUGCCUUUCACAUAGGGAUAGCCCGAAGAAAUUUGGAUUAAUACCUAAUGGUAUAUAAGAGCGGCAUCGUUUUUAUAUUAAAGCUACGGUGGUGAAAGAUGAGUAUGCGUUCUAUUAGCUAGUUGGAGAGGUAACGGCUCCCCAAGGCGACGAUAGAUAGGGGUUCUGAGAGGGAUGUCCCCCACACUGGUACUGAGAUACGGACCAGACUCCUACGGGAGGCAGCAGUGAGGAAUAUUGGACAAUGGUCGGAAGACUGAUCCAGCCAUGCCGCGUGCAGGAUGAAGGUCCUAUGGAUUGUAAACUGCUUUUGUAAGGGAAGAAUAAGGAGUACGUGUACUUUGAUGACGGUACCUUACGAAUAAGCAUCGGCUAACUCCGUGCCAGCAGCCGCGGUAAUACGGAGGAUGCGAGCGUUAUCCGGAAUCAUUGGGUUUAAAGGGUCCGUAGGCGGGCUGAUAAGUCAGAGGUGAAAGCGCUUAGCUCAACUAAGCAACUGCCUUUGAAACUGUCAGUCUUGAAUGAUUGUGAAGUAGUUGGAAUGUGUAGUGUAGCGGUGAAAUGCUUAGAUAUUACACGGAACACCGAUAGCGAAGGCAUAUUACUAACAAUUUAUUGACGCUGAUGGACGAAGCGUGGGGAGCGAACAGGAUUAGAU
rnacentral:rRNA from 1 species